GAUGAACGCUGGCGGCGGGCCUAAUACAUGUAAGUCGAGUGAAGCGGGGACGGGUGACUAACACGUUGAUAACCUCCUAUAAGACUGGGAUAACUUCGGGAAACCUGAGCUAAACCUGAUACUUAUAGAUUGAUCCGCGCGGCAUUAGCUAGUUGGUAAGGGAACGGCUUACCAAGGCAACGAUGCAUAGCCGACCUGAGAGGGUGAACGGCCACACUGGAACUGAGACACGGUCCCGACUCCUACGGGAGGCAGCCGGAGGGAAUCUGCCGCAAUGGGCGAAAGCCUGACGGAGCCACGCCGCGUGAGUGAUGAAGGUCUUAGGAGCGUAAAACUCUGUUAUUAGGGAGGCGGUACCUAAUCAGAAAGCCCCGGCUAAAUACGUGCCAGCCGCCGCGGUAAUUC
rnacentral:rRNA from 1 species